GCAGGGCAUCAGGCACUUCUUGGAAGAUGCUCAGCCAUCAGGGAAUGUGAAGAGGUGUCUUUAUGCAGAGUCCUAUGCUAAGUGCUGGGGGCACACAGAUGACUAAAACAGCACACUUCCUGACUUCCAAACCCCCAGCUUGGGUAGCAGUCAGAUGUACCAUUGUCAUAAACCUCAGUGCUAACACCAGCAGGUGGAAUUUUGACAAUCACAAUUGAUUGCUAUUUAUCUGACAGAGCACAAAGGAGUCUGGUUACAGAACAACAGACUAAGGUAAAGCGAAAGAGCAGGAAUCCAGAUUUGAGAAGCUGCUGCAGUGCCCACCACUACCCCUGCUGUUGACACCAAAGAAGCUAGAAAAAGGAUGCUGGACUCCUGCUGCUGAUGUAGCCUCACACCUCCAAGAUCUAGCUUGCCAGCAGAAAAUUGGCCAAGUGAGGUGAGUGAAUGGCCUCCUCACGUCUGCCUUCCAAAUUUCAAACAAGUCAAUCUAAAUGACAAGACUGACCUAACUUUCCCAACCUGCAAAGGAGUUUGAGAAAUGCAGAUUUUAGCUUUUCAACCUCAUAGGAGAGGAAGGACCCCUGGAGGGAGGUAGAAUGUAGGAUAAGCAAGGCAAUCCACUUAUUCCAGGUAAGUACUAUUAUUAUCAUCCUUAUGCCU